rnacentral:rRNA from 1 species
AGCAGUCGCCACGGUAAUACGUAGGUGGCAAGCGUUGUCCGGAAUUAUUGGGCGUAAAGGGCUCGCAGGUGGUUUCUUAAGUCUGAUGUGAAAGCCCCCGGCUCAACCGGGGAGGGUCAUUGGAAACUGGGUAACUUGAGUGCAGAAGAGGAGAGUGGAAUUCCACGUGUAGCGGUGAAAUGCGUAGAUAUAUGGAGGAACACCGGUGGCGAAAGCGGCUCUCUGGUCUGUAACUGACGCUGAGGCUCGAAAGCGUGGGGAGCAAACAGGAUUAGAUACCCCGGUAGUCCCUGUCUCUUAUAC